rnacentral:sRNA from 1 species
GAUCUGGUUGCAACAUGUGUUACUCCAUUGAUCGCCAGAGUUGAUUCGGCUGAUCUGGCUGGCUAGGCGGUGUACUCUUC